UUGUGCCCCACCCGCUUAAACAGUAUAUCAUGUUAGUGCUUGCAUGGACAGCUUCUGAGGUGACUAUAAAGUAUAUCAUGUUAACAGUAUAUCAUGUUAGUGCUUGCGUGGACAGCUUCUGAGGUGAGUAUAAAGUAUUUGGGGGAAGGAAUACUUGGGAUGGAACCCAAGCCCUGGGCCACACUAGGUUAUUGCAAUAUUGCUGUUGAACCACAUCCUCAACCUGUAAAGACCUGAUGCAAUCAGACUUUAAGUUCCAAUGGGAGGAGGUAAGUAAUAGACAUAACAACAAAUAAAUAAGCCGCGUUUGCAAAUAGUUAAGGGGAGAGAACAAAGCGGUGAAAAGGAAGAGAGGUCUAGGGUGAGGAGGUUUCCCCUAGAGACUGAGCUGGGCGUGGCUUCAAGAGGCUUGCCGAGAAGGGUGUGCCCUGUCCAGAGUGCUGAGUUGGAGACCAUUGUUCGAGGCUAAGGCUACAGUACUGCCCGGGUGAGCCAGACGUUAAAGGGAAUAAUAGAAGAGAGACAAUGUGGCCAGCGUGGAGUGAAGGAAAGAUGUGAAGAAAGACGAUGGGGCAGCUGCACACACCUGUAUUCACACACCUGCAUGCACACUAAGUCCCUUUGUGAUCAAGGCUUGGUGGUAGGAACCGGUAAUCCUACCACAAGGAAAGCUGAAGCAGGGAGAUCACGAGUUCAAGGUCGCGGGCUUCGAGAUUGGGCUAAUUGCUUUCAAUUAUAAUCUCACUGGCCCUUCCAAAGGCACUUCUGAGUUGGUAUUCCUACUUUAGGGAUGAGCAAACUAAGAUCUAGCCAAGACAACCAACUUGCACAGAACACAGAACAAAGUAACAGUGAGUGGGUUUGCCUACCAUUCUCUACCAAGGCAGAGGCUGCGUUUUGAGAGAGCACAUUUCCGCUGUGUCCUGUUCUAACCCUGCUGACCACAGCCCCCUCCUCUCCACCUCUUUCAGGCCCUGCUCACCUCUCUGCGCCAGGCGGGCCUACCAGCAGGUUGCGAAUUCGAGCCUGGGCCUGUCCCUCAGGCGACUGUGGGUCCUUGGAGGCGGGUUCCUCCGGCCGUUCUGGCCCUUCAGCUGCCCCGUCCAUGAGCCAACGUUCUCGGAGAGAUUUCCUCUGGCCGGACUCACACAGACACCCCACUUCACUUCCCCGGACUGGAUAGGAGCCCCCAACCUUGAGCCGCUCCACGCGGAGUUUCUCCUCCUCCAGCUCGCGACGCGCGGCGCCGAUCUCCUCCUGCAGCCGCCGCUUCUCCUGCGCACACACGACCCAGAGCUGCGGGCUAGUCCAGGGCCGCCCUCCGCCCGCCUCCUCGGGGCUCCCGGGACUCCCGGGGCGUCCUCCCGCGGGCGGGGGCUGCAGAGCGCUGACUCAGCAGCGAGAGGGGCGGGGCGGGGCAGGACCAGGCGGCCGCGCCCUCAUGCUGCGGAAGCCAGGCCCACGCCCAAUGGUGGUCCGCAAAUGGGGGCGUGGAGGCGGGGCCUAGAGAUGGGGACUAGGGUUUUGCACUUCUAAGAUAGGAAGGAGAAUGGCCAGGCGAGGCGAACGCGCUUGGUAACCCCAAGACUCAGUAGGACGAUCUCCAUGAGUUCCAGGCCAGCUUGGACUAGAAAGGGAGUAGCCAAUUAGAGGCUACUUUGGGCUACAGAAACCCUGCUGGGAAAAAAAAAAUCGUUAAAAAGGGGGGGGGGGGUCAGGGAUGUGUUGAUCUAGAUAAAGAGAAGGUGCUAGCGAGAUGGAGUCCAAAAUGGGGGUGCAGAGGUAGACAUCCAGAGAGAUUCAGGCAUAUAUAGAGGUAACGCAGAGAUAGGGUACAAAGAUAUGCAGUAAAUCAGGGCGCAGGUUGUGUUGAAAGACAUGACCUUCCAAGGUGAUUGUGCAGGGUACCCAAGAGCACUGCUUAACGUUGAGGUGCUGAAGAGAGACCAGAAAAAAUGGGAAUGGGGAGGUGGAGAAGUUAGAAAGGUGGGCUACAAAAGAAAGGGUUAGAAAAAGGAGGUUACAACAGGUGAUCCGAGACUUAGGGAACAGGGGCAAUUCAGGGUCGAGGUACAGAAGUGGCUACAGAAAGGUGGGUUGCUAAGAGUGCCAAAAGAGGAGGUACAGACCAUGGAAGCCAGAGAAACGGAGCACAAAGGCGGGGGAGAAUAAGAGGGGCAGGUGCAGAGUGGUGGAGUCAGGGUUCAGAGGUGAGGUCUAGAAAUGGGUUCUAGAAAGGGUUCUGGAGUGUGGGGGUGUAGAAAUAUAGAAUGCAAAGCAUGUUUGGAGAAUAGAGAUGCAUUAGUGGUAGUCAGAAAUAUGGAGUUCAAAGAUGAAGGUGCCAAGAGCUGAGGUCUUCCGGAAGUAGGCUAGUGAGGAAAGGGGUGCAGAGAGGGCAGUCAGAGAAACGGGAGCAGAGGUAAGAGGCACACAGGUAAACAAGAGUAAUGGAGGAGAGAGGGGGCCAGAAGGACAGUCUCACAAGGGUUCCCUCAGGGAGGACUCCAAGGGUGGGGUACAAGAAACAGAGAUCUGAGCUGGGCGUGGUGGCGCACGCCUUUAAUCCCAGCACUCACUCGGGAGGCAGAGGCAGGCGGAUUUCUGAGUUCGAGGCCAGCCUGGUCUACAAAGUGAGCUCCAGGACAGCCAGGGCUAUACAGAGAAACCCUGUCUCGAAACAACAACAACAACAACAACAACAACAACAACAACAAAGAAAGAAAGGAAGGAAGAAAGAAAGAAAGAAAGAAAGAAAGAAAGAAAGAAAGAAAGAAAGAAAAAAGAAAGAAAAAAAAAGAAACAGAGAUCUGAGAAGUAGGGAGCUUGGGUUGCACUGGUCUCCCACCAGUGUUUCUGGGUGUGCCAAAUGACACCUUCUGUUCAGCCAGUGACAGAGACCAACACGGGAGCUGCCUGAGGGGUGCCCUGGACAAGAUGGAACUCGGUUCUUCACAGAGCCACACUCACGUCCUAUGGGGUAAAAACAUUCUCUACCCAGAUGGGGCAGGCCACAAAGAAGCCUGAAGAACAUCUGAGGAUUCUCAGGGCUCUGGGAGUGUAACACUUACAGCGAUGACCUCCAGCCGCUGCCGAUAGAGGGCGCUCUCCGCCAUGACCCUGGAAGGAGAGCACAUGGGCUCAGAGUGUUUUCCCGGGACCCCAUCCCUCAGCAGGCAGGCUCCUAAGUGUCUCUUUUCUAACUCAGAACACUGGGCUGCCAAGAGA